GUGCUGCAUAAAAGGAGAGAAUGCGAAGGAUGAAAGAGGUGUUUAAGAUAUUGCCACUUGCUUUGUGGCAUCUAACCAUUUUUUUUA
ensembl:snRNA